UACGUAGGUGGCAAGCGUUGUUCGGAAUUAUUGGGCGUAAAGGGCGCGUAGGCGGUUCGUUAAGUCAGUUGUGAAAGCCCGGAGCUCAACUCCGGAGAGUCGACUGAUACUGGCGAGCUAGAGUACGGAAGAGGUAGCUGGAAUUCCCGGUGUAGCGGUGAAAUGCGUAGAUAUCUGGAGGAACACCGGUGGCGAAGGCGGCAUCCUGGACCAACACUGACGCUGAGGAGCGAAAGCCAGGGGAGCAAACGGG
rnacentral:rRNA from 1 species